AAUAUCUGCAGCUGGCUUCAGUUUCGCCCCAGAAAAUGAGUUUUUCUUUUCUACCACGUGGUCAGGCUGCAAAAUUUCCAAACUUUAAUGUUUUGCUUCCCUUU